rnacentral:rRNA from 1 species
CCUACGGGUGGCAGCAGUCGAGAAUCAUUCACAAUGGGGGAAACCCUGAUGGUGCGACGCCGCGUGGGGGAAUGAAGGUCUUCGGAUUGUAAACCCCUUUCAUGUGGGAGCAAAUUAAAAAGAUAGUACCACAAGAGGAAGAGACGGCUAACUCUGUGCCAGCAGCCGCGGUAAUACAGAGGUCUCAAGCGUUGUUCGGAAGCACUGGGCGUAAAGCGUGCGUAGGCUGUGUCGUAAGUCGUGUGUGAAAGGCGCGGGCCCAACCCGCGGACGGCACAUGAUACUGCGAGACUAGAGUAAUGGAGGAGGAACCGGAAUUCUCGGUGUAGCAGUGAAAUGCGUAGAUAUCGAGAGGAACACUCGUGGCGAAGGCGGGUUACUGGACAUUAACUGACGCUGAGGCACGAAGGCCAGGGGAGCGAAAGGGAUUAGAUACCCGGGUAGUC